rnacentral:lncRNA from 1 species
GUUUGACACGGUUCUGUUCUUUUAAUGCAUUUUUGAUUUUUUUUUUUUUGUUUUUAUUAAUAACCUCUUUACUAGACCCUCCAAUGGAGGUGGUCUUAUUUCCUUUUCUUGAAAUAAUUUUAUAACGGUCAUUUAAUUUAAUGAUGUAUUUCCUUUUUCGUGUUCAUUAUUUCCUUUUUUUUUACUGUACCGGUUAGGACUUGGGUGACUCUACCGGUGGUUUAACCAAAUUAAUUUUGUUAUCGGUUUAACGUUUUUUUUUGGUCGGCUGAUUGAACGUGGUUUAUGGUUUUCUCAAUCAACUUGCCAACAACGACAAAAAAAUAUAACGAAGAGGAGGAACCCCAUAUCUAAGUUGUAGUCUUUAAAAAUAUCUUGAAUAGUCCAAGAACAAGAGAUCCCAUAUUGCACGAUGUCGGAGCAUGUUUAUCGGAGCUUCUUAGGUUAGGAUUUUUAGCGAAAUAUAAGAAACCGUCUCUUAUAUAAGAUAUUUAAGAGCUGGUUCUUAAUUUUUUUAGUUAAAAGUUAAGAGACGGUUCUCAUAUUCCGUUAAGAACUCCAACCUAAGAA